GGUACAUAGUUAAAGUGGUUACAUUUUGUGUGUUACAGCUUCCAACAGCAUUUCAGCUCUAUUACGGUCUUAUUUUGACGAUUCAAGUGAAAUAAAGAUCUGAAAUUAAAGAAAUAUUAUCAGCAUUUAUGAAGAAUCAAAAGUGAAAAAGUGUAAGGCUAAAAUAAUAAAAUAUCCAGAACAAAGAGAGGUGCUCCUAUCACCAUAUGUGUGUCACUCAAAACACAUAAAAAUAAACAGUAUACAAUAAGAAAUAGGAGUG